AGGUGUGCCUUGGUACGGGCGAGUGAGCGGCAAAAGCUCAAAUUUGAAAUCGGCCACCAGGUCGAGUUGUAAUUUGUAGAUUGUAUCUUGAGAGCGGAUUAAAGUCUGUUGGAACACAGCGCCUUAGAGGGUGACAGCCCCGUAAAAUCUAUUCUCAUUGUAAGAUACUUUCGAAGAGUCGAGUGUUUGGGAAUAGA
rnacentral:rRNA from 1 species